GAACAAUAUUUUACUGAAAAAAACCCCUCCAAAACUGUUAAGAAACUGUUUAUCCACAAUGCUUUGGGCUCCCUCCCACCUCAGCCUAAAUAGACCUUUCCCCCUUUUAAAAUUUUAUGUCACCUAAGGCUGCUAGAUAUAGCUGGGCCAUGAAGUGCACAUUCUGAAAAGCUCCAUUCUAUUGCCUUUAUCUAAAAUCUUUGGAAAUUGUGAUGGACACAGAAUUUCAGAUCUGUGUCCUGCUUAAUGCAUACCAAGGAAAAGUGUCAUUUUCAUAGUUAUUCUCCAGGGAAACAUGGAUUUUUACUCCAGUCAACUCCCAGCUCAGUUAAUUACCUCAGUGGAUUGCAAUAGGAAUGAGUAAGUCUGAGGAGUAAGAGCUGAGGGCAUGAUGUCUCCUCUCCAUGUGUGCCAGAGGUAUUUACUCCAGAGAAGCUCUGACCUAGUCCCUUGGAUCAACCACCAUUUAGUGGCUGGAAGCAGGGUGUGUUCCUGGAGCAAAUCUUAUUUUACCUUCACCCAAAUGGGAUCAAGUUCAUGUUCUCCAAGACAUAUUUGUAAUGUGAAUGGAAGCUUGACAGCUGAGGAAGAUUAUGAUCUUCUGUGUCCAUCUGAAGGAUCAGAGGUCCAGAAGGAGGACAGAGGCAGUACUAAUACCUUGGAGAAGUGCUCCUCUACAUGCAGAAGGAAAUCCUUACUAACAGCAUCCAGUUUAUUGCUAAUUGUCAAAGGAAAUAGAGGACAGGUAAUGCCACAAAGAUGACUAAGAAAAACAAUUAAAUAUGCAAUUGCAAAAGGCUGAAG
rnacentral:lncRNA from 1 species